ACUUUUUUCUGAGAUAUUUGUCACUGACAGUAAGAAAACCACCAAUAAAUCGAGCUAAAGUCUGUGUAUCUUUGUUGUAUCAUAGAACCUAGUGUAUUACACAAGUGAAGGUUGUAACUUUGAACAAAGAUCACUGACUAUAGUAUACCAAAUAACCACAAUUAUUGUUUAGUUGUCGUUAUUAUUUUGUAUCAUUUCACGC
rnacentral:lncRNA from 1 species